ensembl:lncRNA
AUGUCAACAAUCCUUCCUCCAAAAGGACCAUUCUAUGGAUUAUAUUUAGUGAAAAUGCCCCAAAUCCUGAUAUUUCUUUACUCUAGUUUAUGGAGGAAUAACCUCUGUGCUUUGUCUGUCCACACAGGUCCACCAGUAGAGCUACCAGUGUUUACUCUGGUUAGUGAGGAGAGGAGCAUGGCUGAAGCCCAGAAGUUCUGCAGGGAGUACUAUGAGGAACUGGCCACCAUCUUCAAUGCUGAGGACCAGAUAGUAGCUCUGAGAGCAGUGUCAGCACAGAGCCUCACUGACGCAGUCUGGGUCCACUCCCAAUACCGUGCCUUUUGGCCCCAACUGGCCUAUUGGAAUACACCAAAUGCAAAGUGUGUUGUUCAUGGACAUACAGCAAAAGUUUGGAUUUUGAGAUAUUGCACAAUUUCAUGUCACUUUGUGUGCCAGAAAAGCACACAAUUAAACUCAGAGCUUAAAUACUACAUGGGUCAAGGUUCAUUGACGUGGGAGGGGGCACAGACGGCUUGCCGAGCCAAUGGAGAUGACUUAGCGAGCAUCCUCACCCAAGAGGAUUACACAGCAUUCCAAAGCAUAACAGAGACACAGCAGUUUGAAAUGUGGAUUGGACUCUACUGGAAGACUUCUACCAGAAUGUGGGAGUGGUCCAAUGGGGACCCCUUUCCAUACUGUGUGUCUGAGCCUCAACUGGGUGCUAGUAACUGCUGCUCCCUGACCCUUAAGGACCAUUGGCAGACUGAAAAUGUCACCCUGGAGAAGAUAGACUGCUCUCUGAAGAGACCGUUCCUUUGCACUGGAAAAAGGAGAAUCAAGCAGACCAUUGUAAGGAUGUCUCUGAAAUCUAAUACAGGAGGUGACCUCAAUGACCCAGUGGUAAAGGAACAGAUGUUGGAGCAGGUACAGUAGUCCUACAUGUCCCACAUUAGCAAUCAAUGUCAAGGUCACUCAUUUCACUGUUUUCAGGAUCAGGAAUGGAAACCUGACAUCACAUAGUAUUACAUUUAGGAUGCUGUAUUCAAAUGAGGGCUACUGACAUUAUCUAGUUUGAUCAUACCUUAUAGAUCAGAAAGGAGAUUGCUAAGAACGGGAACUUCAUCCAAGACUUGCGAUGGAGAGAACUGCCUAACGGAGAUGUUUUUCGCAAAAUAGUUGAACUUGGAAGCCCUGAAGAAGGUAAACACUUUUUUUGUGUCAGCUUUGGAGAAAAAAAACUCAUGUUUAGUCUGUUGUUCAGAGUCCCUUGUUCAGUGUGUUGUUAGGUUUUGCAUCCCGUUGACAGUAUGGAAAUCAAGUACUGUAAGGUGUUCAUGAACUAUUUCCAGUGAGAGUCUUUAUACUGUUGUGUUUGUUUUCUAAGGUCACUGUGGUUCUGGAUGAAGAGGACCAGCCAUGAUGAUGCAACAGGAGAGGGAUGGAAGUUUACUGUAAAUAACCCUAUUACCUCAUUAUAGAUGACCGUAUAUCAAUAACAUUAUCUUAGAUCAUGGUCAGUGUUUUUUCUUGAAUGAGAGAUAGCUUUAUGCUUAUGAAUGAAAAAUAUGAUGUCAAGUUAUUAGGCUAGAUUUAAACUCUACAAUGUUUUACUUUUGUAAUGCAAAAUUAUAAUGUACGAUUUUUGUUGGUGUAUGAAUGUAAUGUAAUAAUGUUUGUUGUACAUAAGGGCAAUUUGAUUAGUGAAGAGAAGAGGAAUAAAAAGGACAUUUGUGUUUGUUCAAGUUUGAAGAUAAAACAUGUAUGGUGAUAAGUUUCAGUGAUGGAUUUUCAGAGUGUAAAAUUAUUGAUAAUGAUGUUACUCACUUAUGGAUGUAACUGUCAACAUUCUUAGAUAAAAUAUGUUUGAUUAGUGACAAUGGUAUUAUGACUAUUUUCACCUUGCAGCAGGAAUGAUGAGAUGUAGGCAGUAGUCACAACAAUGUAGAAUGAUGUGUCCACUUCCAGGUGGGAGUAGAGGUCGACCGAUUAAUUGAUUUCAAGUUUUCAUAACAAUCGGAAAUCAGUAUUUUUGGUCACUGAUUUGGCCGUUUAAAAAAACGUUUUAUAUGUUAUUUUUUACACCUUUACUUAAUCUUUAUUUAACUAGGCAAGUCAGUUAAGAACACAUUCUUAUUUUCAAUGACGGCCUAGGAACGGUGGGUUAACUGCCUCGUUCAUGGGCAGAACGACAGAUUUUCGCCUUGUCAGCUCGGGGGAUUCAAUAUUGCAACCUUACAGUUAACUAGUCCAACGCUCUAACCACCUGCCUCUCAUUGCACUCCACGAGGAGACUGCCUGUUAUGCGAAUGCAGUAAGCCAAGGUAAGUUGCUAGCUAGCAUUAAACUUAUCUUAUAAAAAACAAUCAAUCAAUCAAUCAUAACCACUAGCUAACUACACAUGGUUGAUGAUAUUACUAGUUUAUCUAGCGUGUCCUGCGUUGCAUAUAAUCGAUGCGGUGCAUAUCGUUGCUCCAAUGUGAACCUAACCAUGAACAUCAAUGCCUUUCUUAAAAUCAAUACACAGAAGUAUAUAUUUUUAAACCUGCAUAUUAGCUAAAAGAAAUCCAGGUUAGCAGGCAAUAUUAACCAGGGAAAAUUGUGUCACAUCUCUUGUGUUCAUUGCACGCAGAGUCAGUGUAUAUGCAACAGUUUGGGCCGCCUAAUUUGCCAGAAUUGUACGUAUUAUGACAUAACAUUGAAGGUUGUGCAAUGUAACAGGAAUAUUUAGACUAAUGGAUGCCACCCAUUAGAUAAAAUACGUAACGGUUCCGUAUUUCACUGAAAGAAUAAAUGUCUUGUUCUUCGAGAUGAUAGUUUCCGGAUUCGACCAUAUGCUUUGAGGGUGGCUGUUGUCGCUGUGUUCCUGGUUUGAGCCCAGGGAGGAGCGAGGAGAAGGACGGAAGCUAUACUGUUACACUGGCAAUACUAAAGUGCCUAUAAGAACAUCCAAUAGUCAAAGGUUAAUGAAACACAAAUGGUAUAGAGAGAAAUAGUCCUAUAAUUCCUAUAAUAACUACAACCUAAAACUUCUUACCUGGGAAUAUUGAAGACUCAUGUUAAAAGGACCCACCAUCUUUCAUAUGUUCUCAUGUUCUGAGCAAGGAACUUAAACGUUAGCUUUGUUACAUGGCACAUAUUGUACUUUUACUUUCUUCUCCAACACUUUGUUUUUGCAUUAUUUAAAACAAAUUGAACAUGUUUCAUUAUUAAUUUGAGGCUAAAUUGAUUUUAUUCAUGUAUUAGAUUAAGUU